AUCUAGCUGAAGAGUCCCAAAUACGACGAAAUUUGCAUCAUAGAU
rnacentral:hammerhead_ribozyme from 1 species